CUUCAAGACUGUUGUAAGUCGCUCUGGAUAAGAGUGUCUGCUAAAUGACGUAAA
rfam:Salmo salar isolate Sally breed double haploid chromosome ssa19, whole genome shotgun sequence.